ACAAGAGGUCAGUGAGGAACAGAGUGGCAGACAGGCUCGAUGUCAGGGCGGGCAGAAGGGUCAGGCUGGCGGGUACGGAGUCCAUGAAAACACAGGCAAAAGGUCAAAACAAGAGGUCAGAGAGGAACAGAGACAGGCUCGAUGUCGGGGCAGGCAGAAGGGUCAGGCUGGCGGGUACGGAGUCCAUGAAAACACAGGCAAAAGGUCAAAACAAGAGGUCAGAGAGGAACAGAGACAGGCUCGAUGUCGGGGCAGCCAGAAGGGUCAGGCUGGCGGGUACGGAGUCCAUGAAAACACAGGCAAAAGGUCAAAACAAGAGGUCAGAGAGGAACAGAGUGGCAGACAGGCUCGAUGUCGGGGCAGGCAGAAGGGUCAGGCUGGCGGGUACGGAGUCCAUGAAAACACAGGCAAAAGGUCAAAACAAGAGGUCAGAGAGGAACAGAGUGGCAGACAGGCUCGAUGUCGGGGCAGGCAGAAGGGUCAGGCUGGCGGGUACGGAGUCCAUGAAAACACAGGCAAAAGGUCAAAACAAGAGGUCAGAGAGGAACAGAGUGGCAGACAGGCUCGAUGUCGGGGCAGGCAGAAGGGUCAGGCUGGCGGGUACGGAGUCCAUGAAAAAACAGGCAAGGGUCAAAACCGGGAAGUCUAGAAAAAGACAAUAGAAAACAGGAGCACGGGACAAUCACAAGAACAGGUGAACCAGAUCAGGGCGUGACAUCAAUGAUAAAUUAGGCAAUAUUUUAGCAGCCAUGCAAUUAUGUGGUUUCGGUUGUAGGAACUGAUCACUCCUCUAUGUUGUGUGUGUGAGUGAGAUAGGAACUCAGAUGGGAUCAUCCUGGAGAGAAAAAAAGUGUUCUCCAGCCACCACAUGCUACACAAGGCCGUUGAAGGUAAUGGUAAGCAAAUGGGGUCCGAGUGUUACCGAGGACGUGUCACAAUGCCACCUCUUAGCGAAUGGAGAUUUUCCCUCAGUGUCGCUAAGUUGAAAUGUGUCGCUAAGUUGAGAACAGUUGGAGAAAGUAGGGAAAGGCAAGAAAAAUAAUACACGCUGGGAUAAAGUGGCAAGUUGAAGCUGAGACAAAGACAGAGAGAGGGGGGAGUGCAGAGAAGUUUGCAGAGGUAAGGAUGAAAGCUGAAGAAAAAUAAGGCAAAGCAAGUAGGUACAGACGUAAAGAUGAACCGAAUCAACAUCAUCCAUCCACCACCUCAACAACAGCUACCACCUCCACAACAAGAACCCCCAGCAGCAGGAGUAGGGGCUGUGGGGGCAGACGGCGGAGAAUCUGAGGAAGACGAAGAAUGAAAAAGACACAACGCUGGUCACCACACACUGAGUACCGGAGUAAAAUACCGACACCUCAGAGCCACCCCCGCCGAGACUCUAAGCCUCCCCAGCGACUGGUCACAGAAAUGUGACUUUGACUUUAUCCAGACUUACCUCCCCCUCCCCCUCCUGUUUCCACACCACCUUCUGCCGCACAGCUUCCCCUGAUGACAAAUCCAGUGGCUGGCCGUGAUGUGAACGCUGCUUCAACAAUCCUGGUCCAGUGGAAUCGGCAAAUGGGGGAGAUGAUGGACAUUGUGAAGAAGCUCUCUCUCUCUCAUAGCAGGGCACAGUGGUGGAUCCGGUUUACCACCACGAUCAACUGCCCAGCUAAUGCUUUUUGAGAGGGGGAACUCAGGAGACAGAGGAAGGGGGGGGCUGGAAGAGCAAGAGGAGGAAGGGGCCGCAGAAGAGGUGGACGAGGAAGAGGGGAACCAUGGAGGUGUUAUAACUGUUAGCAGCCAGGCCACAUUUCAAGAAAUUUCCCCCAGAACAGGGGUGAUAUGGGUGGCUAUGAUGAAGCUGAGGACAGUGAUACAUACUAUCCACCACCACCACCACCACCACAUGUAACAGCAUCUAACCCGCAGGGUAGAGGGGGAGGCUGGAGAUAGGCUGUGGAGGAGGUAGAAGGAAAAGACAGCCAACAAUGCCACUUUGUUCCCCCAUGCAGCAUCUCUAUCUCCAAGAUGGAGGAUACCAAAUGGGAAGAAUUUGGUACAUGCGUGAGGUUGGCAACAGACUGGGAGCAUUCUCCUCUGUGGGCGGGGCUCACAGAACGUAUGUGAACAGCACACAUGCAAUGCACCGAGGGGACAGUGAAGCCCCUGUUCCAGUUUCCCUGGCACCUAACCAGCCCACCCCUGACAGCGCACUGUUGACUCAGGUUCGGGACUGUUUAUGGACAAGGGAAGAUGAGAGGAGCAACGCCUGUGAAGGCACAUAUCGGCCCCACAAAGCACUGAACCCCUUGCAUAAGGAGGAGGAGGAGGAGGAGGA